rnacentral:lncRNA from 1 species
AGCCGAAAAACCAUAAAAGUAAAGAAGCGGCGUAGAAUCAAGAAAAGUGAUUGGAAAAUAGGUAACUCACGCGUAAUCAGGUUACUAGCCGCUGGAAUAUUCAAGAAGAUUUGGUUUUGGACUUUUCGGGUUUCUCGUGUGAAAAGUCAGGUUUUGAUUUUGAAUCAGAUUUGACUACCUUUUGGCCAGAAUGUCCGUUUGAGACGCAUGAUACCUUUCCAGAAUGGGAACGACGAGAUCUUCAAGACUCACUUUAGUGAGCCCUAUCAGAUUUAGGCCAAAAUGUAUCGUCUUAAUUAUCCGAUUCGUGAUUUAAUAUUUUAAGGCUAG